AGUCAAGUAAUUAAGUGCAUGUGGUGGAUGCCUUGGCAGUCAGAGGCGAUGAAAGACGUGAUAGCCUGCGAAAAGCUCCGGGGAGGCGGCAAAUAUCCUUUGAUCCGGAGAUGUCUGAAUGGGGGAACCCACCUACUUUAAGGUAGGUAUUGCAACAUGAAUACAUAGUGUUGCAAGGCGAACGAGGGGAAGUGAAACAUCUCAGUACCCUUAGGAAAAGAAAUCAAUUGAGAUUCCCUCAGUAGCGGCGAGCGAACGGGGAUCAGCCCAUUAAGUUAUGUGUGUUUUAGUGGAACGCUCUGGGAAGUGCGAACGUAGAGGGUGAUAUUCCCGUACACGAAAGGGCACACAUAAUGAUGACGAGUAGGGCGAGGCACGUGAAACCUUGUCUGAAUAUGGGGGGACCAUCCUCCAAGGCUAAAUACUCCUGACUGACCGAUAGUGAACCAGUACCGUGAGGGAAAGGCGAAAAGAACCCCUGUGAGGGGAGUGAAAUAGAUCCUGAAACCGCAUGCAUACAAGCAGUGGGAGCACCUUCGUGGUGUGACUGCGUACCUUUUGUAUAAUGGGUCAGCGACUUAUAUUCAGUAGCRAGGUUAACCGUAUAGGGGAGCCGUAGAGAAAUCGAGUCUUAAUAGGGCGUUUAGUUGCUGGGUAUAGACCCGAAACCAGGCGAUCUAUCCAUGAGCAGGUUGAAGGUUGGGUAACACUAACUGGAGGACCGAACCCACUGUCGUUGAAAAGCCAGGGGAUGACUUGUGGAUAGGGGUGAAAGGCUAAUCAAGCCUGGUGAUAGCUGGUUCUCCCCGAAAGCUAUUUAGGUAGCGCCUCGGACGAAUACCAUAGGGGGUAGAGCACUGUUUCGGCUAGGGGGUCAUCCCGACUUACCAAACCGAUGCAAACUCCGAAUACCUAUGAGUACUAUCCGGGAGACAGACUGCGGGUGCUAACGUCCGUAGUCAAGAGGAAAACAAUCCAGACCGCCAGCUAAGGCCCCAAAAUCAUAGUUAAGUGGGAAACGAUGUGGGAAGGCAUAGACAGCUAGGAGGUUGGCUUAGAAGCAGCCACCCUUUAAAGAAAGCGUAAUAGCUCACUAGUCGAGUCGGCCUGCGCGGAAGAUGUAACGGGGCUAAAACUAUGUGCCGAAGCUGCGGAUKURUACWUUGUMWACGUGGUAGGGGAGCGUUCUGUAAGCCGAUGAAGGUGURUUGAGAAGYAUGCUGGAGGUAUCAGAAGUGCGAAUGCUGACGUGAGUAACGACAAAACGGGUGAAAAACCCGUUCGCCGAAAGACCAAGGGUUCCAGUCCAACGUUAAUCGGGGCUGGGUGAGUCGACCCCUAAGGCGAGGCCGAAAGGCGUAGUCGAUGGGAAAAUGGUUAAUAUUCCAUUACUUCUGUGUAAUGCGAUGAGAGGACGGAGAAGGCUAAAUCAGCCUGGCGUUGGUUGUCCAGGUGAAAGGAUGUAGGCAUGUAUCUUAGGCAAAUCCGGGGUACUCUAUGCUGAGAUCUGAUAGCAAGCUGUACUUGUACAGCGAAGUGGUUGAUGCCAUGCUUCCAGGAAAAGUCUCUAAGCUUCAGUUACACAGGAAUCGUACCCGAAACCGACACAGGUGGUCAGGUCGAGUAGACCAAGGCGCUUGAGAGAACUCUGCUGAAGGAACUAGGCAAAAUGGUACCGUAACUUCGGGAGAAGGUACGCUGUUGUUGGUGAUGGAACUCGCUUCCUGAGCUGACGACAGCCGCAGAAACCAGGCCGCUGCAACUGUUUAUUAAAAACAUAGCACUCUGCAAACACGAAAGUGGACGUAUAGGGUGUGAUGCCUGCCCGGUGCUGGAAGGUUAAUUGAUGGGGUUAGCGUAAGCGAAGCUCUUGAUCGAAGCCCCAGUAAACGGCGGCCGUAACUAUAACGGUCCUAAGGUAGCGAAAUUCCUUGUCGGGUAAGUUCCGACCUGCACGAAUGGCAUAAUGAUGGCGGCGCUGUCUCCAGCAGAGGCUCAGUGAAAUCGAAAUCGCUGUGAAGAUGCAGUGUACCCGCGGCUAGACGGAAAGACCCCGUGAACCUUUACUGCAGCUUGACACUGAACUUUGACCUUACUUGUGUAGGAUAGGUGGGAGGCUUUGAAGCUGGAACGCUAGUUCCAGUGGAGCCGUCCUUGAAAUACCACCCUGGUAAUGUUGAGGUUCUAACUCUGUCCCGUGAUCCGGGACGAGGACCGUGUCUGGUGGGUAGUUUGACUGGGGCGGUCUCCUCCUAAAGAGUAACGGAGGAGUACGAAGGUGCGCUCAGCGUGGUCGGAAAUCACGCGUAGAGUAUAAAGGCAAAAGCGCGCUUAACUGCGAGACCCACAAGUCGAGCAGGUACGAAAGUAGGUCUUAGUGAUCCGGUGGUUCUGUAUGGAAGGGCCAUCGCUCAACGGAUAAAAGGUACUCUGGGGAUAACAGGCUGAUACCGCCCAAGAGUUCAUAUCGACGGCGGUGUUUGGCACCUCGAUGUCGGCUCAUCUCAUCCUGGGGCUGAAGCAGGUCCCAAGGGUAUGGCUGUUCGCCAUUUAAAGAGGUACGCGAGCUGGGUUUAGAACGUCGUGAGACAGUUCGGUCCCUAUCUACCGUGGGCGCUGGAAAUUUGAGAGGAUCUGCUCCUAGUACGAGAGGACCAGAGUGGACGAACCUCUGGUGUACCGGUUGUGACGCCAGUCGCAUCGCCGGGUAGCUAUGUUCGGAAGGGAUAACCGCUGAAAGCAUCUAAGCGGGAAGCCUACCUCAAGAUAAGAUUUCCCUAGGACUUUAUGUCCUCUAAAGAGCCGUUCGAGACUAGGACGUUGAUAGGUUGGAUGUGGAAGCAUAGUGAUAUGUGAAGCUGACCAAUACUAAUUGCUCGUGAGGCUUGACUAU
rnacentral:rRNA from 1 species